GAAAACUUCCCGCCGAAGUGUUUCAAAUAGCACUUUGUCUUCAAACGAACAAAAUGGACACAUGCAGUUUACAGAAGCAAAAGAUUUGAUUUGAACUGUUCGUGAAACCACACAUACUCAAGAGAAUUUACAAGACUAUUAUCCACAAAAUGCAACAGUCUUAUUUUGAUGAAUUGCUGAACCAGAGAAAUGUGAAGACUUACAGACACCUAGACUGUAUAGUCAACAUAACAAUGAUUAGAGAAUCAGACUACAGUGAAUAUUACAAUGAUUAGAAAAUCAGACUAGAGUCAACAUUACAAUGAUUAGAGAAUCAGACUAUAGUCAACAUUACAAUGAUAAUUUUGAUUAGAAAAUCAGCCAGCUGCAUUUCAUCAAUCAGUUUAUGAUGAAGCUUUACAGCAUUGGAAAUGAUUACUCAGGGACCAAACAACUGAGCAGAAAGAAGAUCCGUAUGACCUUGAAGAG